UCUCUCUUUUUUUUUUACUUUGAUAAAAAUACUGGUGCCUUUACGGUUUCCAUGGACAUGGAGUCAGGGAAGUCUUUCCUGGGGAUUAGGCAGUGGAUUGGUGCCACGAUCAUCACUAACAACACGGCUACAAAAUGAUUGAUGACAGAGGCACCCUUUGUUCCCAGAGAGAGGCUUUUUAAACAGCAGCAAUAUUUCCAGAGUAUUCAUAGACAUACAUACUUGAAAGGACGUUAUGACAAGAUCACCUCAGUAGCUAUACCCCUUGCACUGACCAUCUCCACUGGAUUUCUCAUUCUGAGAGGUUGCUAUAACAUGGCUCUUGGUAUUGGGAAGAAGGCUUGAGAAGAAAUUCCUGUUUCGUUCAAUAAAUUGUAUGGGGUGAUGUCCCCCACAAUGGAAAAUUCAAUGGUCUACUUCGAUCCUUGUUCUUGAUAUUUUGGGUUGUUAUUUCCAAUAAUUUGUUAUAUGCACUUACAGAAGAGCUGUGAUUAAUCUCUACUUUCUCACUUGCAAAAGUAAAUGCAUUGUUUCUUUAUAU